rnacentral:rRNA from 1 species
AUUGAACGCUGGCGGCAUGCCUUACACAUGCAAGUCGAACGGCAGCGGACCUUCGGGUGCCGGCGAGUGGCGAACGGGUGAGUAAUAUAUCGGAACGUACCUUUCAGUGGGGGAUAACGUAGCGAAAGUUACGCUAAUACCGCAUAUUCUGUGAGCAGGAAAGCAGGGGAUCGCAAGACCUUGCGCUGAUUGAGCGGCCGAUAUCAGAUUAGCUAGUUGGUGAGGUAAAGGCUCACCAAGGCGACGAUCUGUAGCGGGUCUGAGAGGAUGAUCCGCCACACGGGAACUGAGACACGGUCCAGACUCCUACGGGAGGCAGCAGUGGGGAAUUUUGGACAAUGGGCGCAAGCCUGAUCCAGCCAUGCCGCGUGAGUGAAGAAGGCCUCGGUUGUAAAGCUCUUUCGGUCCGGGAAGAAAGUACGCACAGGUUAAGUACCCUGUGUGGAUGACGGUACCGGAAGUAAGAAGCACCGGCUAACUACGUGCCAGCA